rnacentral:rRNA from 1 species
GUAGGGCGGGACACGUGGUAUCCUGUCUGAAUAUGGGGGGACCAUCCUCCAAGGCUAAAUACUCCUGACUGACCGAUAGUGAACCAGUACCGUGAGGGAAAGGCGAAAAGAACCCCGGCGAGGGGAGUGAAAAAGAACCUGAAACCGUGUACGUACAAGCAGUGGGAGCCUCUUUAUGGGGUGACUGCGUACCUUUUGUAUAAUGGGUCAGCGACUUAUAUUCUGUAGCAAGGUUAACCGAAUAGGGGAGCCGAAGGGAAACCGAGUCUUAACUGGGCGUUAAGUUGCAGGGUAUAGACCCGAAACCCGGUGAUCUAGCCAUGGGCAGGUUGAAGGUUGGGUAACACUAACUGGAGGACCGAACCGACUAAUGUUGAAAAAUUAGCGGAUGACUUGUGGCUGGGGGUGAAAGGCCAAUCAAACCGGGAGAUAGCUGGUUCUCCCCGAAAGCUAUUUAGGUAGCGCCUCGUGAAUUCAUCUCCGGGGGUAGAGCACUGUUUCGGCAAGGGGGUCAUCCCGACUUACCAACCCGAUGCAAACUGCGAAUACCGGAGAAUGUUAUCACGGGAGACACACGGCGGGUGCUAACGUCCGUCGUGAAGAGGGAAACAACCCAGACCGCCAGCUAAGGUCCCAAAGUCAUGGUUAAGUGGGAAACGAUGUGGGAAGGCCCAGACAGCCAGGAUGUUGGCUUAGAAGCAGCCAUCAUUUAAAGAAAGCGUAAUAGCUCACUGGUCGAGUCGGCCUGCGCGGAAGAUGUAACGGGGCUAAACCAUGCACCGAAGCUGCGGCAGCGACACUAUGUGUUGUUGGGUAGGGGAGCGUUCUGUAAGCCUGUGAAGGUGGCCUGUGAGGGUUGCUGGAGGUAUCAGAAGUGCGAAUGCUGACAUAAGUAACGAUAAAGCGGGUGAAAAGCCCGCUCGCCGGAAGACCAAGGGUUCCUGUCCAACGUUAAUCGGGGCAGGGUGAGUCGACCCCUAAGGCGAGGCCGAAAGGCGUAGUCGAUGGGAAACAGGUUAAUAUUCCUGUACUUGGUGUUACUGCGAAGGGGGGACGGAGAAGGCUAUGUUGGCCGGGCGACGGUUGUCCCGGUUUAAGCGUGUAGGCUGGUUUUCCAGGCAAAUCCGGAAAACCAAGGCUGAGGCGUGAUGACGAGGCACUACGGUGCUGAAGCGACAAAUGCCCUGCUUCCAGGAAAAGCCUCUAAGCAUCAGGUAACAUCAAAUCGUACCCCAAACCGACACAGGUGGUCAGGUAGAGAAUACCAAGGCGCUUGAGAGAACUCGGGUGAAGGAACUAGGCAAAAUGGUGCCGUAACUUCGGGAGAAGGCACGCUGAUAUGUAGGUGAAGCGACUUGCUCGUGGAGCUGAAAUCAGUCGAAGAUACCAGCUGGCUGCAACUGUUUAUUAAAAACACAGCACUGUGCAAACACGAAAGUGGACGUAUACGGUGUGACGCCUGCCCGGUGCCGGAAGGUUAAUUGAUGGGGUUAGCGGUAACGCGAAGCUCUUGAUCGAAGCCCCGGUAAACGGCGGCCGUAACUAUAACGGUCCUAAGGUAGCGAAAUUCCUUGUCGGGUAAGUUCCGACCUGCACGAAUGGCGUAAUGAUGGCCAGGCUGUCUCCACCCGAGACUCAGUGAAAUUGAACUCGCUGUGAAGAUGCAGUGUACCCGCGGCAAGACGGAAAGACCCCGUGAACCUUUACUAUAGCUUGACACUGAACAUUGAGCCUUGAUGUGUAGGAUAGGUGGGAGGCUUUGAAGUGUGGACGCCAGUCUGCAUGGAGCCGACCUUGAAAUACCACCCUUUAAUGUUUGAUGUUCUAACGUUGGCCCGUAAUCCGGGUUGCGGACAGUGUCUGGUGGGUAGUUUGACUGGGGCGGUCUCCUCCUAAAGAGUAACGGAGGAGCACGAAGGUUGGCUAAUCCUGGUCGGACAUCAGGAGGUUAGUGCAAUGGCAUAAGCCAGCUUGACUGCGAGCGUGACGGCGCGAGCAGGUGCGAAAGCAGGUCAUAGUGAUCCGGUGGUUCUGAAUGGAAGGGCCAUCGCUCAACGGAUAAAAGGUACUCCGGGGAUAACAGGCUGAUACCGCCCAAGAGUUCAUAUCGACGGCGGUGUUUGGCACCUCGAUGUCGGCUCAUCACAUCCUGGGGCUGAAGUAGGUCCCAAGGGUAUGGCUGUUCGCCAUUUAAAGUGGUACGCGAGCUGGGUUUAGAACGUCGUGAGACAGUUCGGUCCCUAUCUGCCGUGGGCGCUGGAGAACUGAGGGGGGCUGCUCCUAGUACGAGAGGACCGGAGUGGACGCAUCACUGGUGUUCGGGUUGUCAUGCCAAUGGCACUGCCCGGUAGCUAAAUGCGGAAGAGAUAAGUGCUGAAAGCAUCUAAGCACGAAACUUGCCCCGAGAUGAGUUCUCCCUGAGACUUAGAGUCUCCUGAAGGAACGUUGAAGACGACGACGUUGAUAGGCCGGG